rnacentral:rRNA from 1 species
ACGUUGUAAAACGACGGCCAGUGAAUUAGAACUCGGUACGCGCGGAUCUUCCAGAGAUUCCUACGGGAGGCAGCAGUGGGGAAUUUUGGACAAUGGGCGCAAGCCUGAUCCAGCAAUGCCGCGUGAGUGAAGAAGGCCUUCGGGUUGUAAAGCUCUUUUGUCAGGGAAGAAACGGUGCGGGCUAAUAUCCUGUGCUAAUGACGGUACCUGAAGAAUAAGCACCGGCUAACUACGUGCCAGCAGCCGCGGUAAUACGUAGGGUGCAAGCGUUAAUCGGAAUUACUGGGCGUAAAGCGUGCGCAGGCGGUUUUGUAAGUCUGUCGUGAAAUCCCCGGGCUCAACCUGGGAAUGGCGAUGGAGACUGCAAGGCUAGAGUUUGGCAGAGGGGGGUAGAAUUCCAUGUGUAGCAGUGAAAUGCGUAGAUAUGUGGAGGAACACCGAUGGCGAAGGCAGCCCCCUGGGUCAAGACUGACGCUCAUGCACGAAAGCGUGGGGAGCAAACAGGAUUAGAUACCCUGGUAGUCCACGCCCUAAACGAUGUCUACUAGUUGUCGGGUCUUAAUUGACUUGGUAACGCAGCUAACGCGUGAAGUAGACCGCCUGGGGAGUACGGUCGCAAGAUUAAAACUCAAAGGAAUGACGGAA